rnacentral:rRNA from 1 species
CCUACGGGAGGCAGCAGUAGGGAAUCUUUCACAAUGGGCGAAAGCCUGAUGGAGCAACGCCGCGUGCAGGAUGAAGGCCUUCGGGUUGUAAACUGCUUUUAUAAGCGAGAAAUAUGAUGGUAACUUAUGAAUAAGGAUCGGCUAACUACGUGCCAGCAGCCGCGGUCAUACGUAGGAUCCGAGCAUUAUCCGGAGUGACUGGGUGUAAAGAGUUGCGUAGGUGGCAUAGUAAGUAGCUAGUGAAAUCUGGUGGCUCAACCAUUCAGACUAUUAGCUAAACUGCUAAGCUCGAGACCGUUAGGGGUAACUGGAAUUGCUAGUGUAGGAGUGAAAUGCGUAGAUAUUAUAAGGAACACCGAUAGCGUAGGCAGGUUACUGGGACGGUUCUGACACUAAGGCACGAAAGCGUAGGGAGCAAACGGGAUUAGAUACCCGGGUAGUC